rnacentral:lncRNA from 1 species
GCUUCUUAGCAUGCAGUUAAGCCAUGGAUAUAGAAUCAGCAACUGGUCGCAGGCAACGUAUAGGAGGGACGGGUACUGUCAUAGAACUGAACCUGGAUCUAAGUAUUUGAUCGUUCAAACGCACAGGAUAUAUCACCAGUAUUUCCCUAGGACACUCCCAGCUAUGAUGUGGGGAAUGGUGGCUCUACGUCAGCACAAGGUGAUAGAUUUUGACAGGUUAUUCAAAUGAGGGGAACGGCUAGCCAGGUAAAGGUCAGCAGUUCAUUCCCCUUUCAUUAUAGUAGGUCAUUGUGCUCUCUGAUCUCCUGUAGUACAUGAAACAAGAUUUUACUAACUGAAAUACCUUUUGCUUUGCUUGGUAUAGGUAUAUCUUGGGAGACAAUUGCAUAGCUUCUCGAUGAACCACCCUGUUCCUGUUGCUUUGACAGGGACAACGUACAGUUGAUGUUCGGUUCACACUCAACAGUCCUGUUCCUGUUUUCUUUGACAAGGACAAAGUACGGGUUGAUGUUCCGUUGACACAGUAGUCAAUUCGCAGUAUCUGUACUGCAGGCAUACAAAUUCGAUGUCAAAGCCCCAUGCUCUGUGGUUACAUUGCCUUUGUUAGUACAUCUACCACUGUUCAUUUUACUAACUGCUAGUAAAAACAUCUAAUGGUAUCAGAUUGUCAGUUUUGGAAGAAUGAUUACACAGAAUUAAGUUUGGUGUUUUGUUUGGUUUAUAGCCUUAGUUAAAAUAUUUCUGUAAGCCAAAUACGAGCGUUGCAAAAUUUGUGACGAAGUUAGGUUUGUUGCCAAUUUUUCUUGGUAAAAUUGCUUUGAGCAUUGUUUAAUUUGAGAUCAAUUAGAGACUAAACAAUGUACACUACCAUUUCAUUUUCUGUUGGCAACAAACCAAAUGUGUUUGCCAAAUUGCAUUACCCUUGCAAAAGAAUUGAUAAGAUUCAUAUUUGUGCAUCAAUCCAAACAAUUACUGGAUCAAUUCAACCUCAAGUUUUUUUCCCUGCCUUUAUUCUUCGGGUCACUCUCCGGCCCGGUGCCUCUAUCUUAGUCAGGCUUUAGGAAAACUAGAUAAUGGGUUUGUCGAUGCAGCAUGCAUCGUUAAACAACAUUGACUCCCAUGAUCUGCACCUGUGGCGAAAACAAGACCAAAGAGGCAAAGAUUGUCGCAUCAAAUGCAAAUUUAGAGACUUUUUCUCCCUUCGUUCUAACAUGGUGAGUCAUUCGCUUGAUCUGAAAAUAUAGCAUAGAGCAAAUCUGGUUGAAUGCAAAUGUCCACAUGCCAUGGGCACAGUUAGCUGACAAGAAGUGCCUGGCAGACAGUAGAUAAUUACAUGCCAUUUUCACAUCCAUAUUCACAAAGAUAAUGCACUGGCAACAGUAUACACUAGACUGCAAGAUGAACUAUACUUCCCAUAAUCAUUUUCCAUCAUAGUAAGUAACUACAGACAUAGCUGUUACUUGAACAAUGACACAAAUAUGAUACAAUACACAAGGAUAAGAAGAGCCUUAUAGUGUCUACGUUGUUUGACAGAAACGUGAAUGUGUAAAUGAAAUUUGAAAGAACAUUGUUUGAGUAAUUCAGCUGUCAGACACGUAAAAGUUAACAACAUCCAAUGAUAUGGAAGGGCACGUACUGCUUGUAUCAGCACAUUCUUUAGAGAGACCUACCAAACCUAAUCAACAAAUCAGGAAACUUCAGAUUAGAAAAAUUAAGGUCGAAAAGAAGCAUAUGUGCAAUGAUUGGCAUGAUCACAACAUCACACUGCCUAUCAGAACUUUAUAAAUGACAAUCUCCAACUAUGUAGAUUUAUUUUUCUGCUUGUGUGCCUUAGAUACAAUAGUUUCAGUUAUACACGGUGUCCAUAUCACAGUCCAACAUCACGAAAUGACCAAUUGAAAAGGAUAUGUAGUAUCUAAUUACAAUACCAUGCUGACACCAAUAGGUUCAAACAUGAACUGAAACGUCAUAUUGAUAUGCAUACUUAAUAUAAAAAUUUAACCUCUCCUCAAAAAAAUAUAUAUAUAAAUUUAACCUUAUUCCUAACAAUGUUUUGUGACUUCAACAAUAAACUGAGGACUUGAGAUGGAGAUGAAAAGACAAGGAAUCAUUAUAGACUCACAGGAGAUAGUACCAGGCAAUAUUGGCAUGUUGUACUUGGAUCUAACGCAAUGUAACUGAAUUAUGAGGAAAGAAUUAUGCAGAGGCAUUCAUUGAAAUAAUGCAUGUGAUAUACUCAUUGAAAAGUAUAUUAGAGUAGGAUGCACAGCUAAACUUGUAAGUUACAAUGGAGCAAAAGAAAACAAACCCCACCUUCAAAGAGCCUUGCUAAGAUCCAUAGUGUUUCCCAAAGUUAUCUAGUAUAUAACCUUUCUUGAAGUUCACUGACUAACUGUCCUUAAAGAAAAGACUACAUUGAUCAAGGAUUUGUGCCAGACAAAUUUCAGUAUGACUUUCUUCAAGUUAUAAGUACAUCGACAACAGUGACUAAAUGUUUUGGAGUGCCAUAAUCAAUAGAGAGAAAAAAAAAUAAUUCACUAGAGACUAUUUUCAUUUUAGUACCAAUAUGAUUUUUGUUAAGGGGGUGGAGUGUAUGUUAACAGUUUUUUUGCCCAAUGAUGAUUUAAGCAUUGUGUUUUUCUCAUCGUCAAUACUACAUGCAUUUAUGCAGCCUGUUAAAGGAAUGAAAAUUAUAGAGAGACGAGCUAACCCGCAUGGCCACAUAUGCAUCAUCAAGGAAGCUGACAUAUUGCUUUCAGGCUUAUCUGUUAUGGCAGCUGCCAUUUGUUGUCACUAGUAUUAGUUUUUGGCACUUAGACUGCUAUCUGAUCAGAUGAUAAGUAUUUCAGGUUAUAAAUGUUUUUUUUUCAGGUCCUUAACAAUAGAAUUGCUUCCUUGAAAUCAUUCAUCUCUACUAACAGAGUUUACAGAGCUAUGCAAUGCAGAGUUUUAAAACUAACCGAUGAAUAUGUAUCCUGCAUAAGAGUAGGAUUAAUCAAAUAAGGGUUUUUAUUAGGACAGUACUAAGUAGGAGUACUCUACUAGUUAGAGUAGAUAAUCAGGGGUGUAGUCUUCGCCGAAGUUAUAACGGCACGACUUGUGCUUGACGAUGCGGAGCUUUCCGCCACGGCAGCGUACCACCUCCACGCCAGUGAGCAUAGCGAAAUUUAUUUUACCCCUUUCUCUGCGAUUAACACUGAACAUCUUGGCGACGCACAGCUUGCCGCCGCCCAGGUGGACGACUUGCGAUGUGUACACCUCCAACUCCCUCCUCCGGUCGUCGCUGUGGCUCUCCACGGAGAACCCCUUCAACUGGAGGCUCGCCACCGGCGGCUGCGGCUGCUGGAUCGUGGAGGACAGAUUCCACGCGCCGAGAAUGGUGUGAUCCAUGUCGGAGAUGCCGAACCAGAGGCCGUGCUCGGGGACGUGCUCGGCUUGGCCGCGGAAGGGCAGCUCCCAGUCGCCGGCCUUGCUCCACGCGGAGCUCGCGGUGUCGAAGGAGUAGGUGCCGUUGGUCGUGGUGGAUACCAGGAUGCGCGUGCCGCCGUCGCCGUCGCCGGCCACCGCGUACCCGCAGAUCAUGCCGCGGGAGGAGCCUUCGAAGCCGGCGGCGUAGGCGUUCACGCACGGGGACGGCGGCGGCGGCGGCGGCGGCAGGGGUUGCCAGAGGUAGUUGUCCCCUACCUCCCACUUGUCGGAGUCGGACUCGGCGGGAUUAUCCUCGAGGCGUACGAGCGCCUCGAAGCAGCCGGCGCCGUCGGGGAGGGGCGUCGUCUCCAUGACGUACAGGUCGUCGCCGACGGCGGCCGAGACGGGCAUGAGCUUGGGCGCCGCGAGGGCGGGCAGCGUGCGGACGGCGCGCGCGGCGGGGUCGUAGAGGACGGCGCGGCCGGUGUGGUCGAUGCCGACGAUGCUGCCGUCGUUCCUGCGCAUGAACUCCAUGCCCAUGGCCGUCGCCGUGGUGCCCGGGGAGCAGAAGGCCAUGGCGGGUGGAGGCAGGCGAGCGUCCUCCACCUCCACCGUCGCUCGCUCCGGUUUCGUUGCUAGUGGAUGGCCAUCGGGGUAGAAGAGAUGUGAUGGGUUGACUCGCCGUAGCCUGUGGGAGAGGGAGGGGCCUGUAAAGCAGUGGUCAGCAAUGUACAAGAAUCGCCGGAUCAUCCUCUUCCCUGCUGCCAAUGGCGGCCGCCGGCGGCGAUGGCGACGGCGACGGCGGCGGCGGCGACGAUGGGGAUCUUGGCUAGGUUUCCACCCGUACAAGGGCGUGAACGAUUAGGAAAGGUAUACUCAUAGAUUACUUACUCGUGGGCCGUAUCCUAAUCCAGCAUCGCGUGUUUGGCCCACCACACUCGUGGGCCGGCCCGGCUGGAACGGGGCCUCGUAGCAACAGCUCUGACGCACGUGACCUCUCUUUCUCCUCGAGCGCAGCUGCGCAGGUCGACGACCCGGGCUCCGCCGCCGCCGCCUCGCCUCGCCGCCGGCGCGCUCGCUCGCUCGGCUGGUCCGCGUAGUGGGCUGCCUUCCAUAGUCGGCUCUGGAGGAGUUUUGAGGGAGGGAGGCGCAGGCAUGGGCGAGGAAGAAGAAGACCCCGACUGGCUCCGCGCGUUCCAGGUAACCAUCUCUUCUCCUCCGCCUCCCGUGGCCGUGUGAUGUGCCCUAGCUAAAUCCUGCCAGGUCUCCGUGGGAAUAAGGUCCAUCCUGCCGAGCGGUUUCGAUUUACCCAUUUUUCUCUGUGGAUUUAAGUUGAGAAUUGAACUGAAUUAGUGGGCGCGCUAAUAAGUUUGAUCUAUGUCAUUUCACAAAAUGGCAUUCCGUGUUGUGCUUCUAGGCUAUGUGUUAAAUAUGCUUUGUGAUGUUCGUGAGAAUUUCGUGCUCUUUGAUAAUCCUUCGCACAACUCGAUGCGAAUUUUCGGUAUUCAGAAAACGUUGUUUGUACAUGUGUUUAACAACUUGUUUACUUGGUCUAUGCCAAUGGUUUUGCUAAACGGUCCCGCUAUGGUAUCGCCGAUUCCUAGUUUAAACACAACGAACACAUGUCUUGAUUUUGGUUCCGAUGUCCGAUAGGCUCCGAUGUGAGGCAGCAAGCAUGUUCUGUAUCUAGUACUUGUUACACUUUCUGUUCUUGGUACAACUUCUCUGGCUUUCCAAGAUUGUGACUUGUUAUUGGUGAUAAUAUCACCAAUUUUAUUUUGCAUAAUUUUUCGUAGCCACCAACUACAUCGACGGUGAUGCUUUCUUCGGGCUCCGAUGAUUCUCCUGAAAACAGUCCUACAAGGACUACACCAUCUGGAGAAGAACAAAAGGGGGAAAACAAGGCUAGUUCAGACCAUGCAGGGGAUGGAGAUGCUGCUGCACUAAAUAAGGGCAAAAAGGCAACACCUACUAGGAGGAAAACCCCUACUAGUCAAGAAGGUAUCAUUAGUUUACUACUCCCUCCAUCCCAAAAUAUAACAACAUCUAGCCUUCAUAAUUUGCCCUAAAAUAUAACUUCUUCUCCACAUACAUUCUCUUCUUAGCCAAUCGCAACUUUCCACCAUUCAAAUCCCUUCCUACCUCCUCUUCUCAAUCAAUCACAACAUUCCUCUAUUUAAUUCCACCAUCUUUCUUAAUGCCUGUAUUCAACCCUAAAACUCAUAUUUUGGGACGGAGAUAGUAAUAUUUAUUAUUUUGUUAUGACAAACUUCCAAACUAGUAUCUCCUUUUUAUUCACUUUCUGAUCUAUUUUCUCUUCAUGGUUGCCUAUAGAUGCUUUCGACAAAGAUGAGAAACCAACCAUGGAAUCAAAUCAAGAUAAGCCUCCAAAACGCUCGGUAACUACUAUAAUUCUUAUUUUGUUCUUAAUUGUUUAAUCCCUGUUCGUGGUACCUCGCCAUCUGGUUUCUAAUUAGUUAUGCUGCUGAUAUGUGAUAUGCCCAUGUAAAAAGAACAAUUUAAAAGAUCUAUAGAUAGAUUACGAGCUAUCCAAGUUCGAAUGAGGUUCAGCAGAUUCCCUUUUUUUCUCAAGAUGCUUUAUUCCUGAUGUAACACCCUGAAAAUUCGACCGACGAAAUCUAAACUCUAAAAAUACGGACCUUCAAAAACUUUUUAAAUAAAGUUGCAUCAUGCCGAUUUUGUUCCAUUAUUUUAAUGAAUUUUGAUCUCGGAGUUUAUAAAUCGCGAAUAAUGGAAAAUUAGUUAGGAGAAAACCCUAAAAAGUAAAUUGACUAAGUAAAUAAUUAAAGAGCAAUUUAAAAUAAUAUUUAGAGAGGAUAGAAAUGAGUAAAAUAUUAUUGGGACUAUAUUUGUAUCAAUUAAAUUAAAAAAUGUAGGAAUAAGAAUUAAAUCUAAUUAAAUUCAAGAAAAUGAUAUAAAAAUAAAAUAUGGGUAAAAUUAACCAGGGAUGGAUCCAUUGGUUGGGAUAACACACAUAUUGAGUAAAAUGCAUAUAUGUAAAAUUAGGAAUUUUUAGAAUCAAAUUUAUAUGGGGAAUAAAUUAAAAUCGGGAUAAAUGGGAAAAAUGGGAAAAGUCACUAUUCAUUGCCCGCCAGGUGCUCGAGUGCGUCCCCUAUCUCUGCCCCUCUGUCCCGUCGCCGUCGCGCCCGCGCGCCACGCGCCCGGCGCCCUAGCCGGCCUUGCGCCCCGCGCCGCCGCCGCCCGCCGCGUCGCCGCUGCCGUGCCGCGCGCCGUCACGUUGCCUCGCACCCCGAGCCGCCGCGCGCCGUCACUUCGCCGCUGCUGCGCCGCGCAACCAUCUCGCGCCCCGCGCGUCGCGCGCCGCUCUGCCUUCCCUCUGCCGCCGCCGCUGCGCCGCGCGCCGUCGCGUCACCCGUCUCGAGCCCCGCACCGCCGCGCGUCGCGUCGCCCCGCCUGUCACGCCGCUCGCCGCCCCGAGCCCCGUGCCGUCGCAUCGCCGUCGCCACCGCGUCGCCGUCCCAUCGCGCCGCGCACCGUCUCGUCGCCACUACCGAGCCGUCGUCGUCGUCGCCUCGCACCCCGUGCCGCGCCGCUUCCCCGAGCCCCGUGCCGCCGCUGAUACCGCGCCGCGCCGCCCGUUCCAUCGCCGCGCGCCGUCACCGUCCGGCCGUCGCGUCGCCUCGCGCCUCGCGCCUGCGCGCCGCUCGCCCGUUCCAUCACCGCGACGCGAGCCUGCCGCCUCGCGCCCCGCGCCGCUGCCGUGAGCCGUCACCGCGCGUCGACGUCGCCGCGCGCGUCCCAUCGUCGCUCCGAGCCGCGCGCCGCCGCUGCCGAGCCGUUCCCAUCGCCGUCCCCUCGCCUCUGCCGCGCCGCGCCAAUGUCGCCAUCGCCAUCGCCGCGGGUCGCCGUCGCCUUGCGCCUCGCGCCCCGCGUCGCCGUCGCGUCUCCCUUCUCCUUUUCCCCCCUUAGCUCUUCCCCUCCCCUAUAUAAGCCUCACUAUUUCCCCCUCUUCCCCUCCAUCUCCACCCCUCUCCUCUACCCACACUACCGCGCCGCCGCCUCCACGCCGCCGCGCCGUCGCACCGCCGCCAUCGUGCCACCGCGCCGCCGCCCUCGUGCUGUCGUGCCGCCGCGUUCGUGCCCCCGUGCCGCCGCCCCAGAGUGCCGCACCGUGCGCCGUCGUCGCCGCCGCCGCCGCCGCCGUCGCCGCCGUCGGUGAGCCGCUGCCCCCCCUCCCUCUUUCUUUUGUCGCCGAGCCGAGAGAGAAAGAGAGAAGCCGAGGGAGGAAAAGGAGAGGAAGGAAGGAGGAAGCCGGGAGGAAGGAAAGAAAAAGAGAAAAGGAAGAAAAGAAAAGAAAAGAGGAAAAGAAAAGAGAGGAGAGGAAAAAGGAAAGAAAAGAAAAGAGAAGAAAAGAAAAGAGAGAGAGAGAGGGAAAAGAAAAGGGAAAAAUUUAGGGGGAAAUUUAAAAUACUUACAAAUAUUAGAAUUUAAUUGUAGGAUUAAUGAAAAUAUAGUUAGAUGAAAUCUUACUAAUUAAAUACCUAAAAUACUAGCAUUUAAAUAUAGGAUUAAUGAAAAUAUAAUUGGAUGAAUUCAUAUAGAUUAUAGAUAAUUUCUAGUACUCUCCAUAAGAAAUCAAUUCGCGGUAUUAAUUUAGAUGUAAUUAAUAAUUAAACAAAUGUAUGAAUUCUCGUAAAUUAUUGUGGAUUAUUUCUGGGUAAUCUCUAUAAAUAAUCGAUUAACGGUAGCAAUUCGGAUUUAAUCACUAGGAUGUUAGCCGUGUAUUAUAUUUAAUCAUAGACUAAAUUAAGUCGUAUAAUAUUCUGGGAUUUCGUCCGAUGUUUAGCUCGCGAUAGAAAUUUCUAACCUAUUAAUUGAUAUGUUACUCGGGUAGGUUAAGUUAAAAACUCAUGACCACAAAAUAUUUAUACUCGCAAAAUAGUUUAAAUCGAAAUUGGGUUGGCCGUAGUCCGCGGAUAGUGAAGUUAACAAAAGGGAAUCGACUUUCGCAUGCGACUUUUAUUUGGAUUCAUUUGGAUUUUUAUUUGAAUUCUAACCGAAUUCAAAUCAAUUCUUGCACGUAACUAUAGAGCCCGAGGGAGUUGCAGAUCCAAGCGAAGGCCAAGACCCGCAAGACUUUGAGCAAGGCAAGUCAUCACUAUUCUUUGAACAUGUUGAUCCCAAUUGCGAAAUGGUUUUGUUUAUAAAUAAAAUUGCAUGCAAUGAUGAACACCCUACUUGUGAUUAUGCCAUGCCUUGAUUAUUGUUUACCCUUGAAUCCUUGUAACCAUGUUUACGUAUGAGUCCCUAGUCAACUAUGACAAUUGCUUAGAAAUGCUAUUCUAGAAUCAUGCAUACUCAUAUUUAUCAAAUGCUAUAUGCUUGGGCAAUUACCUUUGGGAAGGUAAUUGAGAUGCGGCAUGUGGAGACAUGAGCGCCACAUUGCCAUGAUGUUGAUGACAUGAUUUGUGAAAGGAGAAAUAAAAUUAAACAACUGUUUUCGACUGGGGCGGACGGAGGAUUUGGGUGGUAUCUGGAAAAGGCUAGUACCGUCCCCGGUCAAUUAAGGACCGAGCCAUGAAGUUAAGCAUGAAACGACCCCCGUACAACCGUACUUCUCGAAUGGGUAUAGACCUAGCGGAUUAGAUAGCCGAGCGGAGGCAGUACCCCUGCAUAGUGGUUUCUUGAUGUGUGAGGCAGGGGCUCUACGGUGGGGCAGCCAUUGGUAGAACCGCGAGGCGGGUGUCUACAGUGGUGUCGCCAUCAGUAGGACUGCCUUAUGAGAACCUAAAACAUAAUUAUAACUUAAUGCAUGUGUGAGUCUUCCCUUCCCGGGUGCGCCAGAACUCCUCUCACUGCUAGAAACCGUGUACGCCUAGAGUGCAUGAGGAUGAAAAGUUCAUGGAGCGGGUACUGCCAAUGCGAGGUUAUCGAAAAGCUUUGCCGUGACGCGUCUCAUGUGUUGGGACGAGGCUCAUGUGUUGAGCAGUCGCGGAGUGCGGGUAAAGUGUACAUCCACUGCAGUGUGAGUAAACCAAAUCUAUUCGAAUAGCCGUGCUCGCGGUUAUUGAGCACCGGGACAUGUAUUACACUUGGCUAGACUCUAAACUCUUAACUUGUGUGGGAUGGGAUAUUGCAUGAUGAUUUUUAUGCUGAUGGAGCCAUUUCCUGAGAGGUGGAAAUAUGGACAUCCUCAGAAAACCAUAACGACUCAAUGGCGGGAAGCUAUCCUUGGGAUCACAAUGGAUGGUGGACAGAACCGUCAUUGUUUAAUAUGAAUACUGGUAUUAAAACUUGAUCAGUCUAUGCUAGGUCUUAGGCUUGCGAAAAGAAUUACAAAACUUGCUUUGUGCAAAAGAACCAUAGCCAUCCUUUGAAUUCCCCUGUCAUGUGCAUCAUUGCUGUGGUGGCUUGCUGAGUACGGUUGGUACUCACCCUUGCAAUUAUAAAAUUAAUCAGAAGCGGGAGAUGAAGCCACGGAAGAUCCUUAUGCCUACUACCAGGAGGGAGACGAAGAUGAUGGCGUCCAGUAGGUCUUAGUACGGUCGUUGCCUGUGGCAAUGGCAUGCCGCUGCCUAAAAUUCCGCUGCCUUAUCUAAACUCUGCUUUUGGUUGUAUUCCAGACCGCUCGGUCUGAUGAUUUAAGACAAUGCCUGCGGGCUUAUGUUGUAAUAAUUCGUACUAGACUCUCGUGUAUGAGCAUUGGUAUUCCAGUUAUGAAAUCGUGUGUACCAGACUACUUGAUCCAGGGAAAUGGUACAGUUUACACGAGUGAUUCCUGUUAUAAAAACGGGGGUCUACACCUGAUGUCAACAAUACUACUUGAAUCUUAUCUUACAACUGUUCUACAUUAUUUGUUAUUGAUCGUCAGAUAAUGCUACUGUUAUAUUUAAUACUGACUUCAUUGUACAUAUUACUUAGUUGCAAACACCAGGUCCACUCUUUUGUUAAUUCUAUGCCUAAAUUUUUUGUACAGACUCCAAAGAAGAAGUUGGUUAAACCCCCAUCUGGUUCUAAUGCUUCAAAGGUUACUGGACCAAAAGCUGGUCCAGAUCAAAUAGAUGGUAAGACUAAUGAAAAGCUUUGGUUGCCUUUUAGUGAAAAGUCAGUUUAUGAAUUCUUAGUUUCAAUGAUUGAUAAUUAUAGUCAUGGUCAUGCAUAGAUACCUUGGAACAUCAAGAAGAGGGAGUUGCUGAAGAAGACAUGCAGGAUAAACUUACAGAGCACUCUGUAAGAUGCCUCAACUUCCUUCUAUUUUUAAUCUAUUUUUUCCUCCACACUACGGUUCCAGAACAUUGAGAGCAUUGACCCAAACAAGGAGCAAAGAAAACAAAAUUAGAGCCCACAUCUUACUGGGAAUAUCCCAACAUGUGUCAUUUUUGUUAUUGCAUUAUAUUGAACUAAUGAAAGUUGGGUAAAUCCUUUUAAGAAGGUAUAGGAAAAUAUGAAAAUAAACAUCAUUUUGUAAAUAUUUAUCAAGCUCCAACCGAUUAGUUCUUUCCUUGAUUACCGUAAUUUUUGUAGAGCAUGAUGGCGUGUCUUGUUAUUCCUUUAACUAGUUACGUCAAUAUGUCUGAGAUAUCUUAUGGACUGUAAGCUCUUAUGCGUUCCAGGUCUCCCAGAGGUUGCCAUUAAUCAUUCCUGAUAAAAUUCAGCGUUCAAAGGUAUGAUAAUUCUAACUGGCAUUAUCAAUUAGAAACCAUUGUUCUCAUAAAAGGGUCAGUGUGUCAAAUCAUAAGUCCGGAAUGCAAUGAGCAACUCUGCUAUCACCCCCCCCCUUUCCCAUAUUUUCUUCAUGGAAAAAUAUCGGUCAACUUAACAUUGGUGGAAAGAAAUUGUACAAUUAAUAGAAAUACCGCAGUGACAGAGCCAUAAAUGAGAAAUGGUUGGGGCCCUUUUUAGUGCACCAGGAGUUAGAAGGAGUAUAGGCUAUAUAUAUUAAAGAGCCAUAGAUCCUUGAUAAUCCACCAAAAUGUGUUAUAUGUGCUAAAAUGCAGUAAAAUCAACAUCUUGACCUCUGCAAGUAUCAUCUACCUGGAAGACUGGGAAUCAUGACUGACCCAAUCAAUGAUAGUUUCCCUAAGUUUAUAAAUUAUAAUCCUAUAAUCCUUGUUCUGUUUAUUUCUAGGCAUUGAUUGAAUGCGAUGGUGACUCGAUAGACUUAAGUGGAGACGUUGGAGCUGUUGGGAGGAUAAUAAUUUCAAACAGUCCUAACGGAAAUCAGGAAUUGUUAUUGGACCUAAAAGGUACCAGCAAGUCGAUUUCUUUAGUAUCAUUUAUGUAUUAUGCACUUUGGUUUCUGACUAGGCAGGGUAUUUUUACCAACAAGGGAUUUGAAAUUAAUGUCCGUGUUAUCUUACUACAUGCACUAUUCAAAAUACUUUACCCAUAUUAUUAUUAUUUUUACUUAUAUACUUACACAGGAACAAUAUACAAAUCAACAAUUGUUCCAUCCAGGACAUUUUGCGUUGUAAGUUACAUUCAAACUUAAAGUACAGUUGUGCAUUUGCCUUAUUUGUUAGUAUUGAUCUUAAAUCCUUGAUGGACUGUCUCUUUUUCUCAGGUCAGUGUAGGACAAACAGAAGCGAAGGUUGUCGAUGAUAACAUAAAUCUCUUAUGAGUAUUUGACUUCUCCAUAAUUUUUAGUUUAGGCAGUUCUACUUUCUAGUAUGUAGCGUGCUAUUUUUGCUACUAAAUCCGAUUAAAAUAUAUUAUUCUGAUGGAUGUAGCUGCUUACCUUAUUCAACCAUUUUUCCCCUUUUGCAGAUAGAGUCUAUCAUGGAUGACUUUAUUCAAUUGGAACCCCAAUCCAAUUUAUUUGAAGCAGAGACUAUGAUGGAAGGUUAGCAUUCUUCUAGAUGGUCUAAUUAGAAAUCUUCAGCCCAUAUAUCCUACUGUUUCUGACCUAUAAAGCUGAGCAGCAAACUGCGCGCCAAUAAAAGCAGCACAUCUUAUCUUUCUUUAAUGGAGCUAUUAAGCAAUGCAUUGUCAUUUGACAGUGUAGUCAGGAACAGUCAUUCUGCAUGAAGUGAUGACUAAUGACCCUAUCAUUUGAUAUGAUGAUAACAUCUGCUGCAAUGGUUAUUUUCUAAUACUCCAGGCAUGUUAUCUUUAUAGGUACCCUUGAUGGAUUCACAUUUGAUUCUGACGAGGAGGGUGACAAGCUUCCUGAACCGCAUGCUUCUCAAAACGAUCAAAAUAAUGAAGAUGGGGAUCAACCUAAGGCAAAAACCAAAAGAAAAGCUGAGAAACCGGCAGUAUGUUCUCUCCUACCCUUUUAAUGAUCCUAUAAGCUUCUUUUCAGUUUCUUUUCUAUUACCAUUAUGCCAUCUCAGAAUUUAAAACUGAUGAUGGCACAUGUUAGCACUGUUGCAGGAACUAAGUUAAUAAGGAACGUACCCAAAAUCACAUCUGGAGCACCUUGAGCUUCUGCAGCAGCAACAUGAUUGACACGGGCCUUUGAUGCUGGUGCGGUAGAGUUGCUCUGGGCAGGGACAAUCUUCACGCGUCGGGGCUUCGGACACUUGUCAGCGUAAUGUCCUGGGUCUCCAUAGUUGAAGCACACCCCGGGCUUGAUGCCUUGCUCCUUCUUGGCAGGUUGUUGCUGUGUCGAAGCUGCAACAGGGCGUGGAGCUUGAUUGCGGAUGUUGUUGCCCGCGUUGUUGUUGAAGAACUGACGCUGCGGACGAACAACAGACGAAGAACCUCCCUGUGGCAUGGACUGGGGUCCUAAAGUAAGACGCGGCCUCUGACUAUUCCCCUGUUGUGCCUUGAAGUGAGCAAUCCGGCGUUUCUUCCGCUCCAUGCGAUUUGUCACGCCCUGAAGUUCCCCUCCCUUGCUCUAAAUUCAUAAAAUAAAUCGUUCGAAGAAAUUGUUUAAUUUAACCUAGAGAUGAAUCCCUAAUUAAUAAAUGCAAAUAAUAAUCGGAAUCGGCAUGUGGAAUUUUCUUGGAUUCUACAUGUCAAAAUAUGCUAACAGGAUUUUUAGUGGAAUUUUCAGAGCCUUGGAAAUAAUUUUAAUCAAUUAAAAUAAGCAAAGUGCAAUAUUAAAUCCCUGGAAAAAUCCUUUUUCCUUUUUAUCUUUUCUUUUCCCUCCUUUUUUCUUUUUCUUGGGCCCGGCCCAUUUCCUCCCGCGCCGGCCCGCUCCUCCCUCCUACUCCUGAAGUUCACCCGGCCUCCUUCUCCCUCUCGGGCGCUGACAGGUGGGGCCCACCUGUCAGCCCUUUCCCUAACCUCCGACCGCCCACGCCCGCGCCAACCGCCGCCGAAACCACCACCCAUCGCCGCCCGCCUCCCCCGCCUUCCGCGCCCCACUCCGCGCCCCGGGCCACGUCGCCCACUUCCUCGCACGCCCCGCCCUCCCCGCGCCCACGCCCCACUCCCGCUCACCCCCGCGCCCGCGAGAUGGCCAGGAUUCGAUUUGAAUCCCGCCUCUCUCUCUCUCCUCCUCCACCUCCUCCACUACUCCGGCGAAAUUGCGCCGUUCCCGGCCACGACUCGCCGCCCCCCUCCUAUUUAAGCACGCCCGCACCUUCCUCUCUCUUUUUCCUUUCUCGGUCGAGCCCUCCCGAGCUCUCCAUCGCUCCCGCGCCUCUCAUCCCGCCCUCCGCCGCUCGCCGCCAAGCUCCGGCCGCACUCCGCCACCGCUAGAGCCGUCGCCGCACUGCGCUGUCGACGCCGCCGGGUUCGCAAGCUUGUGCGCCACCCCGUCCGCCAUUGAUAACUUGGGUAUUAAAAUGACUAGAUGUUGGUUUAGGAGAUGCUUAGCCAUGCUUAGUUCAACUAGUGCACAAAAGGGGAUCACAUUAAAGCAUAGACUUUGAUUAUUGGCAAUAGCUUUGGAUUAGUGCCACCGCAAUGGUGUUGGUUAAUUAAAAUACACUACAUGGUGGGCUGUGGGUGCAUGGUUUUGCUAGUCGUGCCCAUGGCGACUAAGGACCGGUUCGCGGGAUGCCCUGGAAGAACUUAUCGUACUUACCACAAGCCAGCGUGGGCAACGGCUGGGCUUGUAGUGUAGCUUUUCUCUAGCCGACGUACCCAGGCGAGGGUGGGCGUGAUGGAGUUGGGUCGGCCGGGGUGUCCGGUUGAUCGGCUUCCGGAUUCACCGCGGCACGAAAGGGGGGCUGCCCGUUGCCUGCUGGGGACGGGGGCGAACCCUAAGGUGUGGUGCGAUCGGUUAGAGGGGGUUAUGCGAAGGGUCCUGUCACGGCCUCUUUCCGGUAUGUCGUGGUGGCAUGUCGGCGCACGGGAACGUGUCGUGGGGCUGUGUCUUGUGGGUACAGUUGUACACCUCUGAUCAGAGUAAAACUAUUCGAAUAGCCGUGCCCGCGGUUAUGGGCGGUCGACCAGAUUCACCGUGAUUAGUUUCACCCUAGUUAGCUUUUGGAACUGGUUAGUUCAGGUGGUGGUUUGGGCCUGUUGCAACGUGGUGUAACGUUGGACAGUGAUUGGUUAAUAUGGAUUAAUUACUACUACUGUUUUACUGCUUUCAACUACUGCUUUGAAAUGCCGGCUUUAUGCAAAAGAACCUUUAGCCUCCCUUGGAUAUACCCUGCAUCAUACCCCCCCUCUUCCGGUAUGACUUGCUGAGUACAGUGGGUAGUACUCAGUCUUGCUCUCUUUUCCCCCUCACCAGAGUUGAAGUUCUUCUCAGUUGGAGAUGUCUUGAAGAGGUUGGUUUCGUCGCUGCCGUCAAGGGUUGCCUGUGGAAUGGAAUCGCCCGCUGCAGGAGUCAAGUCUUCAGGCUUAGCUCGCUUUACCUUUUCCGCUGCAUUUGUAAUCUUUUAUAUUUUUGUAAGACGUGAAUCUGUAUGUCAACAAUUGUCGUUUGUGUACCCUGGCUGGUCCUGGACAGGGGUUUAAUACACAUUCAGCUUAGAAAUUCUGGUUCGUGAAUUCCUGGGCGUGACACGAUUGUACUUGUCCUCCUGGCGAAUAGCCUUAUCCACUAACUUCUGGAAAUCAUGAUAAUCCCCAGUCAUGAGUGGGUAAGAAAGCUCAUCAUUAAGUCCUUCCAAGAACCUCUCCUGGCGCUCUUCAUCAGUGCGCACAUCUUCCGGAGCAUAACGAGCCAGACGAUUGAACUCGUGCAGAUACUCGGUGACCGUGCGAGAUCCCUAGGUGAGCGACCUGAAUUCCUUCUUCUUGAGAGACACCACUCCCGAUGGUAUAUGCGUCUUCCGGAAAGCAGCGGGGAAUUCAAGCCAAGUGAUAGGUUCAGCGGUAGUCCUGUUAAGGCGGAAGUGAUCCCACCAUUCAGAGGCAGGGCCAUGCAGCUGGUGUGAUGCAAACGAGACCUUCUCUUGAUCAGUGCACUGAAGCAAAUCCAACUUCUUUUCUAUGGCAUGCAGCCAAUCACCAGCUUCAACAGGAUUAGUGGUGCUAGAGAAAGUGGGCGGCCUCACACGAAGAAAUUCUGCUAACUUGUUCUGGGGAGGUGCAUAGUUAUUUCCCUGGUUCUGCUGGUUCUGGAGUUGCUGCAUCAUCAUGUUCAUAAGCUGUGCCUGUUGAGCCAGGACUUGGGCAAGUGUGGGAUUCUCUCCAUUGUUGUUGUUAUUGUUGAUGUUGGGGCCAUUCCCGUCGCUGCGAGUGAGCACCAUCUGGCAUGGGCAGGAGCACAAGAAGAGAAACCGGGGAAAACUACUUAGGACAGAGAAUUAAUUUAACUUUUAUUGAUCUUAAGUGAGUUUCAUUAUUACAAAACUGAAGACUCUCACACCACUAAACUCACCAACUACCUAACACUCGAAAACAAACAAACGCAUGCACUUACAUCCCACCACUGAUGUAAAUCACAUGCGAGAAACACACAACCAAACUUAAAACAAGCAAACUAACACAACGAUCUAAGACAACGGUUUGACAAGGCAUUCUAGGUCUUCCGGGCAUCGGAGUUGAUUGAAGGCUCGUUCGGCUCGUCUCCAUCAUCUUGAGUGGCUCCCCACUCGAUCUUGGAAUGGGUGCGCUUGGAUUCUUCUCCUUCAUCAUCACUUACGUUGACGACCGGAGGAUCCGCUAGGGCUGGGGUAACUUCUUUCUCCACCACACGGACCUUUGGCGCCAAUUGGUAGCGAGGGACAAAUAGAGCUCUCUUCCUUGCGGUAAGACGAAUCCUGGCCUUCUGCGGUGGUGCUUCUCCCUUCAAUGCGGCUAGUUCCUUCUCCAAACGAUCCACUUUGUCCUCUAGCUUGCAAAUCUUACCACGAUUCUGGUCUUCACGAUCUUGAGCCGCUAACACAGUCUUCGCACGGGUUUCAUCCAUAGCCCACAGCAUCUCAACCAAAUGCCUUGUGGUAGCAUCAUUCUCAAUUCCCUCAGUCUCAAGGUAGCUGCCAUGGUCACUUCCCUGUGGUUGGCGAGGAUGGUAGCGAUAAGGUGUCGGCCAACUGAUCACUGUAGCGAUCGCGGAGCUCUCCUAUGGCGAUCCUUGCCACCUCCUGACAUGCAUGGAUGUAGUUUCCUCCUCCAGCUUCGAACAUCACUGAGGAGAUAUCUUCACUAUUACUGUUCAAGGUGACUUUGACUCGGCACUUCUUUUCGUGACGAUCGUGAGGAAUCUGGGCAUACAAAGGGGCAGUCCCAAAUCCUAUGGCAAAGGACAUCGUACGCAACUCCUGGACAAAUCCCUCAACACCAAACAAGUACUCAGGCUUGUAGCGCGGCAUCUAAAGACAAGUGAAAGGAGGGAGUUAAGACAUUUAUCCAAUUAAUAGCACAAGUUUUUGGAUUAAUUUGAAUAAAGUUAGAAAAUCAAAGUAAAAGGUAAGUAAAUAAAGUAAACCAAGCUUGCAAGAUAAGUUGAAACAGUUGGAAACAAGGUCACAAAUUUUGUACUUUUGAACAACAGGUUCCAAAAGAAAUAAAAGAAAGUUAUAAAAUCAACAUGCUAAAUUUAUUUCAUUGCAGCAAGAUUAAAUAAAACAAUAUUGUAAAACUUUUGCUGGUAAAUGAGCCAUUAGUACAGUAAUAGAUGUACAGUACUAAUAACACUGGAAUAAAUUUUGAAUGAGAACCACUAAAAGAGAUUAUGAAGUGCAUGUGCUAUUAGUUUGGUUUAAUUAAAAGAGAAGGGGAGGAGAACAGUUCUACUUUUCCAAUAUUUUUAGAGGGCUUCUAUGGGUAACCAUUUGGCAUAACCUAGGGUCAAGGGGCUCUGAUACCAACUUGUCACGCCCGGAAUUUCUAUCCAAAAUUCCAAAUGCUUACAUGUGUGUGAACCCUCGUACAGGAAUCAGCCGAGGCACACAAUAACAAAUUGAUAAUAGAGUACAAUUAUUACUCUAAUUAAUAAGCGAAUAAAAUGUCAUUACAGAGGUAGAUAGUUCCUCUCAAUCAAUAAAGAUCUAAGCAGCGGAAAGAUAAGAUAAACGGCGCAGACGACUCCACUCCACAGGCAGCUUGACCAGGGCUACACCUAAUCCUCCACACCAUCAGCAUCACUGUAGAACUCUUCCUCUGAUGAAUGAUUGCAAGGUGAGUAUAUGACAUACUCAGCAAGCCACGCAGCAAAUAUGCAAGUGCACAAGGAUACCAAAGAAUGGCAUAAUAUAGGGCUCAUUUGCAAAAGCAGCAUUUAGCAAACAUUUGAGAAUUAUAAAACAGUAGAGUAAUUAAUCACCAAUUUUAAUCAACACUAAACAGCACACCCAUGCUGCUCAGGCCCAACCAUCCUGAACAACCAUACCCGGCUGUACAGAUCUAUCUCCAAACCAGGAAUAUACCAUUCCAAACCAGGAGCUAAUCAAAUUAUUACCAGUUAUAGCAUCUUUUAUUAUGGUGAGAAGUGUGAGACUAAUCACGAAAGACAUUGUUAGACCCGCCCAUAACCGCGGGCACGGCUAUUCGAAUAGUUUUACUCUGGCCAGAGGUGUACCACUGUACCCACAAGACACAGCCCCACAACAUGUCACCAUGUGCCUCAAUACCACCACGGUACCUCGGAAAGGAGCUGUGACAGUACCCCUCGCACAACACAAUCCACCACAGCGCACCUUUCCUGGAUCAUAAUCACCCCCUUAUAAACAAGGCAUGGACUCCCCAGCGACCCCCGUGGGCUUAUCUCCGCCACUUCUCAGUCUGGUGCUCCGCAAUGAACCAUGCUAUACAAAAGGUAAAGCCGUUGCCCACGCUGGCUUGUGGUUGGCACGGUUAAUGUUUCACAACCGAAACUCGUGAACCGGUCCUUAUUUGUCAUGAGCACGACUCUCAAAACCAUGUGCUCACAACCCACCAUUAUCAAGUUUUAGUUGGCAAGUAAUUAAUUAACCAAUCACGAUUGACCAUCGUGAACUAUCAUUAAGCCAUCAUUAAAUAAUAGUGAGUCAUAAGUUAUCCCAAUAGUGUGCUAAUGUUUCUAAGCAUGGCUAAGCAAUCUUAUCUAAUAUCUAGCUGAACCAAUAUAUAUAGCCCAACUAGUCAAGUUAUAAUAACCCAAGGUAUCAAGGAAUAAAGUAAUCAAUGCAAACAGGCCAUAACAAAGGAAUAGAUUCACACUACCCAGUGACAUUCGAAAAUAAAUGCACAAUUGAAAUAAAUAGAGAAUUUAAAUAUAGGAUCAACAUGCUCAAAGGAUUGUGUUUAGGAUCUGUGUGACUUGCCUUGCUGGCCUUGGAACUCUUCAAAUUCUUCUCCUGCGAAAACAGACUCUCCGGAAACGUCGGAAUCUAAACAAAAAGGAGCAAAAUCACCAAACAGCACAUAAACAAGCAUGAACAGUACAUGUGGAUAUUUUUAACAUGUAGAUCUCAAUUUUAGAAAAAUUUAGAGACUUGAACCAACUAAAUCCGAGCUAAGAUGAAUUAGUUAUGAAUUUUUAAAGAUUAAAUCGGAUUAAAACACUUAUAUGGAUUUUAAUUGAAUUAUGACGCAAUAAUGAAUUAUUUUUGAAAAGGAAAAGGGAAUUAUUGCGUCAGCGGCUAGGGUUUUCGGUGGACCGGGUGCACGGCGGCGGCUUACGGAAACGAAUGGCCGAGAUCUUUCCAUCCAAAACGGACGGCCGAGAUCGACCGGUCCACGGUCGGACCACGAGAGACGACGACGACGACGUCGGCGGUGACGUCACCACCGGCGGCGGCUCGGGCGUGCAUGCUCGCCGGCGAACGACGGCACGACAGCGCGAACGGAGGGCUCCUACGGGUAGCGGACGGCACGGCGAACUCACCGGUGACCAAAGCGACGGCGGACGAUGACCGGACGACAUCGGCGACGAGGAGAAGGCGGCGGCACUCUUCGGCUUGACGACGGCGACGGUGCUCCGGCGGUUGACAGCGACGGCGAAGGGGCGGACGAGGACGGCGACGCGACGGCGACCACGAUGGCGACCUCCCCGAGCGACGGCGACGACUGGAGCGACGGCGGCGACGACGGCGGCGCGAGGUCUCACGGGGCUAGGGCGCUACCGACGGCGAGAGACGAAGGCGAGGGUGGCAGCAGGUAGCGGUGGACUUGGGGGUCCUUUUAUAGGGGCAAGGAGGCUGCGGCGAAGGCCCACGGCGACCGGCGACGCGAAGGAAAGUCUAGGGUUCAGAGGAGAGAGAUUGAUCCGAAUCGAACUCGAAUCCGCGAGUUCCAAAACGAUUUAGACGAUGUUUCCAAAAGGGAAAAGGUAGAGGGGAUCCCGAGGAUCAUUUCCCCUCUAUUAAUUUCACCGGAAACAGAAAGGGGCGGUUGGAUUUGGAAGGAGACGACGGCGGCGCGGCGCUAGGGUUCGGGCGGCGGCAGCGGCGCGAGGAAGACGAAGACUGACAGGUGGGCCCCACCUGUCAGCGGCAGCGAGCGCGCGCGCGCGAGCGGGCGGCUCGGCUGCGGACUGGGCCGGCUUGGGCCGAGGAGGAGAGAGAGAGGGUUUUGGGCCGACUUUCGGCCCAAAGCCAAAAGAGACUUUUAAAAACCUUUUUCAAUUUAAAUUAUUCAUGAAAUGCAAUUCCAUUUAUUAAAAAUACUUCCUUAGCUCAAAUAAAUUCCAGAAAAAUCUAGGAAUUAUAGAGUUAAGCAAAGUAUUUAAUGAAAUUUUAUCUGGCCCCAUUUUAUAUUGGAAUUUAUUAAUUAAAACUAGAUCUUCUUUUCAAGGCUUUUUAAAAUAAAUUCUAAUAAUUCCAAUUAAACAACAAUUUAUAUAUUUAGGAUUUUUAAGGUGUGACAGGCUUGGAUCAUAGAAGUUCAUGUUAAGAUAAUUGAAUUCAUUUUGGCCUAUGCGUUGUGACAUUUGAUUAUCAUAGAAGUUAUAGGACGAUCGAAGUCCAAAAAAUGAACUACUUAGAAUACCAUAUUGAGGACACGGAUUAUUUUCAUCAGCUUGAUUUGAAAAAAAAAAGAACUACUUAGAAUACCAUAUUAAAGACUACUGAUGUGAGAAUCUGCACAUCCAUUGUCUAAUUGAACUUCUGACUAAACUUUUGUUCAAUUAGACAAUUAGGCAAGAAUCAUCUGACUGAACUUGACACGGCAAGUCGGCAGGUGGAGGUAUCCUGAUAGAUAAACAGAUCACAUAAACAACUCAAACAUCGCAAACCUGCCAAUCUCAUAAUAGGAGAACAUUAAUUUGCAGCUUUGCUUACUUCGAUUUCAUUUUUUCUCAGGUCAAGAACAAAAUUUACAUCAAUGCGCGGUUGCAAUCUGAGUAGUUAUCUUUUACUCCGUACAGUGAUGACGCAAAACUUACAGGAGAUUAGCUACUACAACUAAUUACCCUUCGCAUGUCCAUGGAAAUAAGGUAGCAUAUAUAUAUACAUUAAUUCUGAACCAAGUCUCCGUAUUUCAGGCUCCUUGCAGCAUAUGGCUUUACUCUCAGCUUGCUAUUCUUGCCCAACUGCUUGUGGAGUUGUGGGGUGAAACAGGUAUCACCACCUGCAGAAGAAGUUCUAGUUCUGAAAGACAACAUACCUUCCAUGAUACAUUGAUGCCUUGUUGCCUCCAGAUAGGCUCAGAAGUCUAUCAUACCAAAGAUGCUCUCUACUGAAGGAUUCACUAAACAACCUUUCAUAUUUUCAUCUUUAUUUCCUAAACCUAAACUCAACCUUUUAGUAAUGGACACAAUUUCUCGGUCCAGGAAUACAGAGAAUGCGACCAAUAAGAGGAUUUUAAAAAAAAAUUUCGAAGGGCUAUACCUAUACUGUACUGCACUAGUCACUAGAUAAGUCAUGGUAAGAAUAGGGCCUCAAGGUAUAGUUUGAUGUACAACUGGUUGCUCCUAUAGACAUAGGAGGCUAUAGAAGACAAGGGGUAUGAAAGCGUUGUCGAGUUGGGCUGUAUAUGCUUCCAAUAAACCGCUCAAUGUCACAGCUACCAAAAGUGAUAUCCAAUGCUGUGUUAAUAUAAAAGAGAUGGUCAGGAUUUAUGCUUGCUUAGUGUAUUGUAGAAUAAAAGCUUCAAAUGGUUUAAUGCCAGGGGGGAAAGUAAAACCUGUGAAAGUAUGUAUCCACUUGAAGCUAAGAGUGACAGCAGGAUUGAGCAGGCUGCUAAUACAGAAGUUAUGCCUGCUGCUGUGCCCUUAAUUGUUUUCUCUAACAUUUCAAAAGUAUGUGCAUAAGAGAUCAAUUAUCAACCAUGGAAUAAAUAAUAAUGGAAAUCAAACUCACUUCCUGUCUUGCUCCAUCUUAGGACACCAUACUUAUAACCUAUCAUUGAUGCCUAGGUAAAACAAGAGAAUUCAUCAUACUGAACGCAGCUAACAUAAGAAAAUAUUAACUGAUCACACACUGGACAUAGAACCUACCAUGGUAUCACCAAUACCCAAGCUGAGAAUUCCAGCAAAUGGUGUAAGAGGUCGGUCAUUGAAUCCUGAUGACAUCCAUUUAGGAAGUGCACAUCCCAGCAAGAGUGAGAAAUGACUGAACAAAACAAAUAUAGUAUUAGGCCUAUCCAAGUAUUGAGCAUGUAAAUGAGUUAAAAUCUGGAAAACAACGACCAUUCAUCCAGACCUACCUAACAAUUAGAAUCUCCGAAUCGCGGUGAUCAGUGAAAGCACUCAUGAACUGAUGCACAAUAUGCCCAAGAGGGUAUAUUUCCCAAACCUGAGGUCAGGGUGAAACAUUUCGUUGGAGAAAUUAGCACAUGUUGGCAUACAAACUGCCAAAAAACAGAGAAACGGGAGAAAGAAAGGGAUACAAAUAAAGAAAAUGCUUACUCGAACCAUCUCCAAUAUUAAGAAAACAGCAAAUGCUGCACCAAAUGCCAAGUCCAAGAAAUCAGGCUGCAAAGAGAAAAAAUUUAUUGGGAGUGUGUUUCAAACAAUCUGAUAGGGAUCGAAUAACGAAAACAUAUAUUACCUGAAAUAUUACUGCAGGAGAGAAAAUUAGGACAGCAACGAGAUGGUAAUACUUGCGCAAAAGAAUCCUCUCCGUUUUGCUUUGUUUUGAUAUACUGUAGAACCUUCUAAUUGAUACAUAUAUCACAAAUAUCCAGUUUGCGCAUAAAGCAAGCCGUUCACGUGAAUCGGUGAAAAUAUAGUUAAAAACCCUGUGAAAUAAUAAACCAUUAAGUGAACCAAAAUUCAAUAUGUACAAAAAUGCACAAGGUUUAGAAGCAACACAGGAAAAAAAAAUUCAAUAUUUGACUAACAAAGUGCAUGCUUUUAUGCCCUUCCAAUGAAAUGCAAACUUAUAUGCUCACCAAACAAAUGGAUGCACUUCAAAACCUUGAAUAAGACGCGUCCAUGAUGGCACUAACAACAAUAGUGCUAUCAACAAUGAAACAUAAAAUACACCACAGUCAAUUCUCUUCUGUGUGCAUUCCUCAACUGUUUGUGUUCUUUGACUCUCCAGUUUUCUACAGUAAGCCAAAACUUGAAGGGAGCUUUUGUAUAACAAGGGGAGAAGAAAAAGACCAAGCAAAACCCCCUGCAGAAAAGAAAAAAAAGGGAAGGGUAUUAUGCACUAAGAAACUGAAGCCAGACAACGCAAUAGCUUCUACCUGAAUAACUGUGCCUAUCUCGUUUCGAGUUCCAGGUGCGCGAAUAAAUGCUUCUGAUGAUACGGAGAACUCCAUCUGCCAGCAGCACGGUUGCAAAUGUGCAGGCAACAAAAUAAGUAUCAGAUUUGCUACCAUUUUGCUGGUAAAACAUAGUUCGAGGAAUAAAUCACACCUUUGAAAGAGUAUGAGCCAGCAUAUCACCACAGUAAAGAAACAAGACCACUUGAGACCAAAAUGGCCUCCCCUAAGUUCACAGAAAAUGUAAAGAUAAGUUAAAAAAAGCAAUAGCUUCAAGUCAUGAUGAAAAGGAGACAUAUACAUUGCAUCGGCCAAUAGGAACCACACAAAUUAGCUGAAUUUAAAUUUUAAAAAAUGAACAGUGUAGACAUAAUGCACCAUGCCUGCAUGGAAACUGGUAGGAUAACUAGCAAUCGUAUGGAUAGCUCUAAAGUCUAAACAUAUGCAGUCUGAUAUAAACAAAAAAAAAAGAAGAUCUACAUCUUAGACUUCAGGUACAAACCAAAAGAUGAACAUGAAGGGAACUUCUCUAGAAUAUGCUGGAUUAAGAUCACAGCAGCCACUCCAUGACACAGCAAAUACACCAAAUUACUCAUCACCAGCAGACCUGUUAAGACAACCUAGAUUAGUUUGUAAUUCCUUGCUUCUGAUGAACUUCCACCAGAUUUUGGAAAGAAAGGGUGAGACUAUCUUUGCAUGCAGAUAAAAUAUGCAUGUACCUCCAUCAGUCUUCAGUAAAAGGUGAAACAAGUAUGCCAGGGGAUAUAAAAUGAUGAGCAACAAGCCGUAUUUCGAAGCUAUAGAAUUUCCAUUGCUGGGAGACUGCCGUAGAUGCCAAACAAAAAAUGCUAACAUGCUGAGGCAGCUAACAGAUACUGCCCAGUACUGCAUUUCAAGGUAUGCAUAUUCUGACAAUGAACCACAUAUGUAGUUAGUAAACCAGAUGCGUCACCGAAAAUCUUAGUGUCAAACAAGAUUUGAAAUGUUGAUGAAGACUUGGGGAAAUUUCCAUUUAGUAAUGGAACUGAUAAAUUUGACAAAAUAGAAAAAUGGAUACCUUCACGUCCAUUAGGAUCGGCUAGUAAGACCCUAUAAAGUUGAAUUAACCGUGAAAGCAUGACACUAGGCAGAGUAGUGGCACCAAGAAGUAUGCCUGAUGAAGCACCCGGCCUGGAGCAUAUACAUAUAUCAUCAUCAAGCACUGAACAAUCUUUUACAGAAACAUGCACAAGAGCAUCAAGCCACCACAAGAAGGUGAAGUCCUCACAACACAAGACGUGACAAAAUCUUACAGUAAGCAACUAGGAUUGCACAUCACAGAACCCAUAUAAAUGACAGUGGGAGCAACGUUUCAGCUGAAAAUGCAAUGGAACAGUAUUUUGGCCAUCAAAAUGGGAGCAAUAUUUUGACUGGCUUUAUGAUAAAAGCACCUCUGAAUUUCCCAUUUGUGAAAUGGGUUAACUAAGAAAUGCUGAAACCCAAUUAUUCAAGAGUGAUAUUUGUCCCUUGGAUUGUUGGAACCACCAAUAUCUGACCCCAUUUUACACACUACUGAACCAAAAUAAAAUCCACUAAGCCUCAAGUACAAGUAAAAUCACAUUCCUGCGGUAUGCUGAAUCCGACUGAUGUCGUUUCCCCAAUUGCAUGAUCCUCACAGGGAGGCAGCCAGCAUUGAACCAACAAAUGGAUAAAUUCGCCUCAGAUUCUACGGCUGCGCCAACGAAUUUUGCAAAAACACUGCACCUUGCAGGUUCCCUGGCAUCACAGGGAGCUCCUCUAAGACUUAAUUCGUGGGGGGUUCGAAACUCGAACACUGGUAUCAAAGAUCACGCAAUCCCCCAAGCUAACCAAAUCGCGCGAACUAGCAGCCCAGCUCCGUGGAGAUGCGGCGGAAGAAAAUACGGAUAAGAACGGGGGAGGAUAUAACGUCGCACCUGGUCCUGAACCGGCGGAGCGGGGAUGAGGACGCGGAGGCGGAGGCGGAGGCGGAGGCAUCCACGGCGAGCUCGACGGCGAGGGCGGCCGCGGCAAGGACUGCGAGCGGGGCGGCGAGCUGGGCCGGCGCCGCGAGCGCGACGCGGGCGACGAAGAGGAACACGACGAGCCUCUCGCCCGAGACCACCGCCGGCGCCAUCGCCAUCGCCGGCGACCGAGGAAGCGCACGAACGAAGGGAGCGCGGCGCGAACCGGACGGGCCUUGGUGGUUCUGACUGACAGGUGGGGCCCGCAUAAACCAGACGCGGGUGGUGGGUCAAAGCGGUUGAGCCGCCGCGUCCGACACGGGUGUGGGUGUGGUGCACCGUGCACGCACGCGCACCGGACCUGACCUGGUCCUCUUGCGUGGCGUCAAGCGUGUGCGCGACGCGGAGAGAAACAGUGGCCGCCGCUGCUACUGCUGUUUUUUUUUUUCUUCUUCUUCUUCUUUUUGGUUUUGUGACUCGCUCUCGUAUAUGUGGGCGUUUGCGUCGACGUCGUCGUCUGGGCGUUGAGUUGGAUGGGAAUAUGGAAUGAUUCCUGAGUAUUUUGUACCACCGCUCCAGGCAAAAUUCACAAGUGCCGCAAUGUUCAAGCAAAAUUCAUGUUCUAUGCUACUCCAUUCGUCCCAUUAUAAGUUCAGUCAUGAGUUUCCAUAUCUAUCUUUGAUCAUCCAUCUUAUUUGAUUUUUUUUAUGAUUAGUAUUUUUAUCAUUAUUAGAUGAUAAAACAUAAGUAGUACUUUAUGCAUGGCUUAUAUUUUUGAACUUUUUUUUUAAAAAAAAUUCAAAUAAGACGGACGAUCAAAAUUAGACACGAAAAAUUAUGGUUGCACCUAAAAACUUAAAAUGGGACAGAGGUAGUAUCAAAUAUAAGUUCGACAUCCACAAUUCUUGUUCUCAGAUAGGUAACUAGUGACUGAUGAGGAGCUUGUCUGAUGGACCACAAACCACAACAUAUUCUCAGGUUGGAUGGGGUAGAUACAGGUACAAUACAAUUUAAAAUAUUUUCUAGAGUAACAACUAACAAUCCGGGAAGAAAACAGACACCAAGAUAAAACCAUCCAUCCAUUGAUCCAUCUGAGACUCAGAGCAGGGUAGUAAUACUAAUACCACGUUCCAAACAUACAUAAGUGACGUUCCAGGCAUAGUAAUAACAUUACUAAUACAGACGCUAAUAAUAAGACAAGAUCACAAUCUCGACCGUAGCUUAUAACAGUUUUUUGCUAAUAAUACAGUUAUUGGGAAUUUGGGACAGCAGUAAUACUAUGUUUGAUCAUUUUCUCUUCAGAGCGGAGGGGAUCAUGCAACGGCAACAAAGUGUGACAUGCAGGACAGAUAUCAUCUCCUUGGGAUCUUUAAUCUAAGGGAACUCCUCAGCAAACCGGGUCAAAAUACCCUGAACACAAAACCAGUAACAAAAACGUCAGUACAUCAGAACAGGUAGCAAUUUAUCAUUACAUUACACAAGUAAACCAGGGGGAAAUAUAUCCUAAACAUUGCACCCCCUUCAGAAGCAACAAGCCUGCAAAUACAGAAAAAAGAAAUGCAACUUCAAUGAAAAUGCUUCCAUCACAAGUAAACACCAUAUGAAUAUCAGCCAACUCAAAUACCACCUAGUUCAAGCUUCACACGCAUAUAUUGGAUGACGGUACAUGGAAAUGUACAUCCUGCCUGCCAAUGCGUUCUCACAUCAGAUGUGUUCUUUGCAUAGAGGGAAGAAAAAGGCAGAACAUAAAGCAAAUUUGCAGAAAGAAACAUGAAAGGAAAUACGAACUAGUGCCUGCACACUAUGGUUCAUAUGAUAACAAUAACCAAAGCGUUGGCGCCACUGAAAAUGAGCAAACAGAACAAAUCAGCUGUUGGUGCAACCUAGUCCAUUCAAUAUAGGCAGCUCGUGAUAGAUGUUCACUGAAACCAAGUAACCAACAAGACCAUACAAUUCUAACAUAUCAAUGUAAAGUGAUUUAUAAAAAGCUGCAGCUCUAUUUUUCUGAGUUGUUUCAAGUUACAAUUACUCCAGCAGGUCAAACUGCCUAAGGCCUAAUAACAUACAGUAGCCCAGGCUAAGGAUACCCAUUUGUCAAGGAACAGUGCUAACUGAUAAAACACUUGCAAGGACAGCAGUAAACCAAAAGGAAUCAUACAUACGAGUAAUGCAAUGGUUGCUCUUUAGAAAAAGAAAUCACCUGAAUGAACAAAUGUGAACCCAUGAUACAAUAUCACAGCAGAAGUUUCAAUAAUAUUUGCCGCGAAAUUUAAGUAAAAUAAUAGGAAAGAAACAACACUUACAUUGAUCAGACAAACAUCGCCAGCUCUGGACGGCUGUAGAUGUUAUCCCCAUCAUCAUCUAGUGCAGGAUAAGCAGCAACAAGUGCAUCUUGUGCACCUAUAUAUAAUGAGUUGUAGAUUUUCCAAUAUACUUCACGUACUUUCCUUGCUGGAUGGAAAAGGCCUUGAAGGCAGUAAUUCAAGAUCACAGCUGGACCAAGAGCAACUCUCAUCCCCUCAAUCGCCUCCAUGACAGCAUUGAUGACAUGGGGAGAUGUCUCAAAUAUGUUGGGCCAGACAUAGUUAAGCAAAUGGACAAGAGCAUCCUCACAGCCCAAGCCAGCAACACCAAGAGCCAUGUGUUUCACAGCAGAGGCAGCAGUUUGCCGGUGAACAAGAUCUCUGUCCAUUAGAGCAUCUUCAAGCAAGGGAGUAACAGCAUAUAUGUAAUCCUUGCCCAUCUCACCAAUAUACUCAAAGAGGAAAGAGAGAGACUUCAGGACACCAUUCUGAACAUUGAGUUCUGGGACCCGGUACUCAUUCAUCAGGGCAGGCAGAACUGUGAAAGGCGAGCAGGUUUCAGCAACAAUUGCAAUCGCGACAGUCGUGCAGACACGGUUUUGUCGUUCCUGCACCUUCAAGUUAUUCAACAGAGUCGCCAACACAUCCUGUGGCCCAAUAGCCUUCGCAAUAUAACCAAAUGUGUUCACAGUCGCUCUUCUAAUACCCUUCUUGUGAGCCUUCAACAUUUCAAGAAGCUCAAAGCAAAUCCUCAUCCACUCCCUAGCAGGCACAAAUUCUGCUCCGCGAUCAGCAAUCCUACCAACUAGAUCAAUGCAGUUCUCCUGGACCUUCUCAUGCCUAUUCUUCAAGAUAGGAGUCAGCCGAGGAAGAAGAUCCUUGAUUGGCGGUGUCAUCUUAGUCAUACCAAUGACAUUCACAAUAGCUUUCAAUGCUCCAAGAAUCGAACCCAACACCUCAGGGUACUCCUCUCCCAAAUACUCAUACAGCACAACACCCAAAUGACCCAUAAGCUGCUCCUCCUGACAUUGUUUCAUCACAAUAGCUAUCCUUGAGAUCAGAUCAGCAGCUUGCUGCCUAACUUUUGCACUCUUGUUGUUCAACCGCCACUUAAUGGUACCACAAAUCUGAGGAAGGUAAGGCUUGACCCUCUGUCCCAGUGCAUUGACAACAGCUCCAAAACCAUUAAGCAUGACAUUUGCAUCAUCACUUGUCUGCUCUUGGAAAGCAUACAGGAUGCCAUCAAUAAGCAGCUCCUCCAAACGAGCAUCAAUAUCUGAAGCACCCAAAUUAGCCACCACCUUCUCAAUUGUUUCCAUCACCAUUCUCCUGUAAGGCUCACUUUCAUCUUUCAGAUCCUCAACAAUCCUCCCAACAAUAUCAGCAACUCCAACCUUAUUUGCCAUCUCUACAGUUGUUUCCACAAGCUGCUUAUAGUUCCUGCGGUCCAGAGCCAUUCUCCUAACCCAGAAGUGACGGAAAAACUCAGGAAGGAUGUCAUUCCGGAUAUAAUCAGCCUCUACACCCUCUGUACUGACACACUGUUUAACAACCUUCAGGACAAUCUUCUUCAUUUCUUCAUCUGGUGACUGGAACUCCCUUAUCAGGAUUUGCAUGACCUCCUUCGUGUAGUAACUGGCAUACAGCGCAUCCAUAAGAGGGAUGAUGAAACCAAUAGCUUUCAAGAAGGCAGCAAGAACCUUUCCACGGUGAGAUCUGAUACCCUUCCACAGAGGCUUCAAAACAGUAUCAAAACUUUCUAUACCAUAUGGUGCAGCAGCCUCAGCAAGUGUAGCAAGAGAAAGGGCAGUGAUUGUCCGCACUUUCUGGUUCUCAUCACUAAGACCAUGCUCAAUGAUCUCGACUAGGGACUUGAGAUGUGGCAGAACAGCGCAGCCCAUAAGAAUAGCAAUCUGCUGAACAAUCUUGAUACCAGUGUGCCGAGCUUGCCAGGACUUCUUACUCUGACAGACAGCCUUUAAGAAUGGCAGGAGAGCAGGGGUACCCAAAGCAGAAGCCACCACGCUAAAUGCUCUAGCAGUGGUAUUUCUCACAUACUCAUCAAUGUUAUCAAUAUCUGGUCUCAUGGCGGCAAUCAUAGUAGCAAGACCAGCAGCUUUGCUAAGAUUUGAGAUAAUCUCCCGGCCCUCAACACGAGCAUAGUAGUCCUCAUCAAUCAGAAGUGGCUCAAUGACCACAAGAAUCUUAUGGACAAACGGACGGACUAGCUCAUCCAGCUUAUACAGUACCCUGUCAAUGACCUUCACCAGAAGAUGCCGCUCCUGGUCCUCAAUUGUUGGCUGCAUGAGCAAGGGUAGAAUCUUGUUGAACAAAGGGCCAGCACCAAAUUCCCUUGCUUUGUCUGUCAGCUGUCGAAGUGCGUAUAGGCUGGUAUGAAGCUGGAGGUUCAAGAAUCUUGUACCCUUCCUGCGGGAACAUAGUAUCAAGCUCCUCAUCCGUAAGAGGCCUGUUCCGCUCCUCAAUGUCCCGCUCCCACCGCAAGAGCUGGUACUGCUCUGGAGUCAUUGGACCACGAGAAGCAAUCUGGCCGGGUGUUGGCGUCGCAAGGUUGUCACCACCAAAUGGCGUCGGACCAGGAGUGUAACCUGCAGGCGUCGCAGCACCAGUGCCUCCAGGUGUAGCACUACCCAUACUUGCAGGAGUCUCAUCCCAUCUCGAUCUCUGCUUCUUGGGUGUUGGCGUGACAAGCCCACCAGGCAGCUUAGGAGUAGCAUCCCAAGCUCCAGAAGGUGUGGCACCUGGAGUAAUGCCACCAGCUGCAGGUGUUGCAUCCGCAUCGGCCAUCCUCCCAGGAGUUGGGGUCUCAUCCCACCGAUUCCUUCUCACCGACGGCGUCGCAUCCCCGACACGACCAGGGGUGGCAUCCCAGCGCCCAAUCCCAGGAGUUGCAUCAGGAGCAUCCCAGUCGGAGGAGGUCUUCGCCUUCUUGGAUCCAACAGCAGCAGAAGCAUCACCAUCCUGCGACUGAUCCCAUCUAUUGCGGCGCUUCGGCGCUGCCACUGGCUGCUGCUCAGGCACGGCCUUCUUCUCCUUGGCCUUCUCCUCCUCUUCCUUUUUUCUUCUGAGCUAUAUCACGCAGCAGCUGCUCCUUCUGCUUCUGCAGGUCAUUCUCGCGCAUGGCAUCAGCAUAUGUCCGCACGGAAGGGUCCGGGGUGGCCUCACCAGCGGCGAAGGGAUCAUGGCGCUCCGGCGAGAUGAUGCGGGCCAGCCGCCGCCGGCGAUAGUCAUCCUCGCGGUCGAUGAUGCGCUGCGACUUCUUGGGGAGGCCGUCGUCCUCGGCGGCGCGGGGGAUGUCGGGGGCGGCGACGGCGUGGCCGGUGUAGGAGGCGAGGCGGCGGGCGGCGGGGUUGACGGCCGCCUCGGAUUCGUCCUCGGGCGCGUCGUCCUCGGAGGCGGGGAUGGAGGUGUCGUAGCCGGCGAAGCGGUUGGGGUCGGAGCCGCCGCCGCCGUAGAGAUCAGUGUCGAAGGUGACGGAGGAGACGGCCAUGGGCGCGCCGGCGGCCAGGGCCUCCUCCAUCUUCUUGCGCUCCUCCUGCGCCCGCGCAAGCUCCGCGUCGAUGCCGUCCAUGGCGCCGGCGCGGCGGGAGAAGCGGUUAGGGUUUCGGGGGUGGAGAGAUUAGACCUGGAUUUUUCACAUUUUGGUCCUUUUAAAAAACUUAUUUCGCAAGUAGACCCCUAGAAAAACUUAUCCCAAAAAUGGUCCUUUUUGGGGCGCCAGAGUGGCUGGCGCCGUCGUUCAACAGGACGGCGCCAGCCUCUUUGGCGCCGUCCCCCUGCCGACGUGGCGGGGCGAUGCUGAGGUGGCUAGGGGGAGUGCGCCAGAGUGGCUGGCGCCCCCCCCCCCCCCCCGAAAUUUUUUAUUUUUGUUUUAUUUGUUUGAUAUUUUUUUUUCACGCUUAGGGACACACAAGAACCAACCAUAGAAAAAUUGAACUCAAAUGGACGUAAUAUGUGACAUGUAGAAUUUUUCCUCUCCUCUCCUCUCUCCGAACUAGUACAGAGGAGAGAGAUGUGCAACUUUUUUAUUUUUAUUUUAUUUUUUUGAUAUGUUCUUCACACUUAGGAACUCACAGGAACCAACCAUGUAAAAAAUAAACUCAAACGGACGAAAUAUGUGGCAUGUGGAAUUUUCCAAAGCUCCACCGAAAAACUUCUCUCCUCGAAAACACAAUCUUGCAAGCGGAAUUUGGAGGUUUUAAUAUCGACGAACCCGACAAAGCGGGGGAGAAUCGGAUGUAACUUUUUCUGUAGAUGUCCGUGCAUAUAUUAUUUGCCUGAUUCCGAGUCCGUAUGAGAAAGUUACGCCUAUUUUAAUAGAUGACAUAUUUUGUCCGUUUCGGUAGAGUUUUGGAAAAUUCUACAUGUCACAUAUUUUGUCCGUUUGAGUUUAUUUUUUAUACGGUUGGUUCCUAUGUUCUCGUAAGUGUGAAAAAAAUAUCAAAAAAAAUGAAAUAAAAAUAAAAAAAUUACAUCUCUAUGUACUAUUUAACUUAUAUAUGUCAUUUCAUGUGGUUAUAUUUUGAAUUAGAUUAAGUAAUUUCAUAUAGUGGUAGAGUGCAUUAUGUUUAACAUGCUGAUCAAAGAGUUUUACUAAAAGAGUUAUGGUCUAAUUUUAGUGAAGGUGCAAAGUAGACUAAGUGGUAUGCUAGAUAUUUUCAGACUUAGCUAAGUGGUAGUUCGAGUUUAAAUUUUUUUUGUGGUUGGUUGUAUCGUGAUUCUGAGUGUGAAAAAACAUCAAAAAACUCCAUACAGAGAAACAGGAAUAGAGGCGGCGGCGCCAGCCAUGCUGGCGCCCUCCUCCCUGGGGCGGCGCCAGCAUGGCUGGCGCCCUCCUCCUGCCACGUCGGUUCGCGUGCGCCACGGUGGCAGGAGGACGGCGCCAGAGAGGCUGGCGCCGUCCCGUUGGAUGACGGCGCCAGCCACUCUGGCGCCCCAAAAAGGACCAUUUCUGGGAUAAGUUUUUUCAGGGGUCUAUUUGCGAAAUAAGUUUUUCAAAAGGACCAAAAUGUGAAAAAUCCAGGAGAUUAGACGAGGGCACGAUGCGAGAAUGGGGAAGAAGAGCAAGUCGUGAGGUUUGGGCUCUCGUGCUAGAUAGACUCGCUGACGUCAUCUUUCAUCUGGGCCGUUGAUUGGCUCCCGCAUGAUUGAGGCCGUCCAUCUGAAAAACAUGAACCGACUUUGCUUCCGUUAAUUGAUAUAGUACUACUCAAAUAAUUACUCUCGAAUGCAACUAAGACCAAUCCAAAAUCGUAAAGCUAAUGGAUGCAGAUGGACAGAAGUCUAGUGCCUAAUCCAUUUUCUCUAAGGAAACUGUCAUGUUCGAUUAUUCUCACAACCCAAAAAGGUAAAUGUUCUUUCCAGCUGAGCUUAUUAGAACAUCAGGUGCACGUAUAUCAAGCAGCUAAAACGGCAUCAUCUUUUAUAAAACUCCCUAUAUAAGUUUAUUGAAAACCCAAACAAUGUUUUUAGAAAAAAAAAGAGUUAUACUUAAUUAAUCACACUCUCCGAUUAAACGGUUCAUAAGACUACAUUCAUUUCGGUGAGUGGGUGGCGCAUAAUAAAUUGUGUAUUAAUUAUUAUAGUUUUUAACCUUUUAAAAUAAAACACUGUUUAAGAGUUGAGAAGCGUGCUAGAGGAAAACGGAUAAGUGAUACAUAGUAAUUUUUAACUCGAUCUAAGGCGUCCGAAAGAGAAAUUGCGGUUGAUGUUAACCUGUGCACUAUUCGAAGAGCUUCUAAUCACUACAAUUUCAAUCCCCUUCAAUUUCCCUCUCUUGGGAUUAAGCGAACAAGGUCUCAAUCAUCUUCAAUCCCCUCUAAACCGAACAAGAACUUAAGCGGAUGUUCCCUUAGAUAUCUAAAAACCAUUCAAAUAGUUAUGAUUUUCUUUAAAAAAAAUAACAUUAACAUUUCUUUCUCAACAUAUAGUUUGAAUUUGAACUUAUUUUUUUCAGUGUUAGUUGUCACUGAACCCUACAUUGUCAUUUUCUUUUCAAUCUUUUCUGAAACUAUUUGCAUUGAAUUUGGAAAGAGAAAAAUUGCAGGGGAGCCAACCCCUUGAGAGUUUAGAAUUCACUUCCAACAACUCCAGCAAAUCUAACAAGUUUGCUUAAACAAGGAUGCAUGAAGAAAAGAAAACAAAGAACUGAAUAAGUCAGUGUAAUCGAAUGAUCUGAACCUCGAUAAGUCAGUGUAGUCUAGGCGGUGACGACUCCACCAACUCCCCUCAAAACACCCCGUCCCCAACAAAAAGUUGGAAACACGCCCAGAAUUGUUUCAUCAACACCGCAAAAUGCGGGUGCUCGUCGUGAAGGGCCGCGCCGUGGUGGCGGAGACCAUCGGUUGCUGCUGCCGCACCGCCGCCGCCGCUGCCGCCGCCGGCGAGACAGCGCACUUUCUCUUCACCGCCGAGGGCAUCCAUCACCGUAGCUUCUCUUCCACCCCUCCCCCUCCGCCGCGUCCUCACGUCGUCGGGUCGUCGUCGUCGUCGUCGUCGUCGUCACUUUGGGCCGGCGAUCACAGCGACAGGUACGGCUCCUUCUCAUCACAUCACCGUUCCUUCCGCAAUCCGCACCCCGUGUUUCCGAGUGUUCUGAAAUAACAGUGCGCUUCAGGUGGCAUGGAAUCGGCGGCGAGGUGCAGAGGAAACGCGAGUACGAGGGCCACGUUGGCGGCGGAGGCGCCAUGGCGACUCCCCGAUUCAAGGAGGAAGACCUGGGGCUGCGCGUGAUCUCGCUUGGCAAAUGCAGCCGCCACCUCGUUCACGCGCCCAGGUCCGCCUGGUUCAUGCUCCACGCGCCGUCGAGGCGAAGCUUCUCGACCUCGGCGUCCUCCUCGCCGUGCACUUCGCCACCCGCGCCGCCUGAGACCAGUCCGCCGAACACUUCGACACCCGCGCCGCCUGCUCCAGAUGUGCCAGAGAACAGUUCGCCGCCGGAUUAUGAUCUCUGCUCAGACAGGUUCGCGCACCAAUCCACCAUUGUUUGUUUGGCUGCGUGAGAUUGCAUUGUGUGUGAUUACUGCAACUGUCAAUUUGGAUGUGAGAUUGCAUUAUUAAUUAUUUUGUGCGAUUACUUGAAUUGUUAGUUUAGCUGUGUGAGAUUUCAUUAUUAAUUAUUGUGUGCUAUUACUGCAAUUAUUAGUUUGUCUGUGUGAGAUUGCAUUGUGUGUGAUUACUGCAACUGUUAGUUUGCUGUGAGAUUGCAUUAUUAACUAUUUUGUGCGAUUACUUGAAUUGUUAGUUUAGCUGUGUGAGAUUUCAUUAUUAAUUAUUGUGUGCUAUUACUGCACUUGUUAGUUUGGAUGUGUGAGAUUGCAUUAUUGAUCACUGUGUGCAAUUACUACAUAUUGCAGGUGCUCCUUAGGUGAUAUGCUUGAAGCGUCCUAUGAUCCUGUAGAGUUCGUGCGCAACUUUCCAGCAGUAAUGUUCAGCAAGCCGAAGAACGCCCCUGACACUUUGUACGAUAGAUGGGUUUUCAAAGGCUGGUUCCAAUCUGCUAUAAGAGACAUUUUGAGCAAACUAGAGGAUCAUCACAUAGCCGGUCUGGAGUUUGAAGAUAUUAAUACUGAGACCAUGACAAUAGCUUGCAAUAUUGAUUCAAGCGAGUUCUAUCCCAGGUUCAAUUUUCAUGGGAAGACCAGGAACAUUACUUUUGAAGGACAGAAAAGAAAUUACACUCAGCUUGGCAGCACCCUUGAGAAAUUGAUAGCCAUCUCAGCAAGUGCUAGUAAUGUCCAUGCAUAUCAUCAUCAACUCUUGACUGAAGACGCUAAAGACUUGCUGAACAAAAUGAGGCAUCCUUCCCUUGAUCGUUUUGAGGCAUACAUGCUCAGAAACCACCCAUCUUUACUUCAGAUCGAAGCGCAUGCCUCUUUCUACCUUACCUGCUUUGAUCACCUGAAGCUAUUGCCUCAAAAGCCUGUUGAAAACUUCUUCAAAGGACUGCCAUACGCGGUAGGAGACCAGCAUGGCGAUUGGAUUGCAAUUGCACAUCAACACCCGCUUCUUAGCAUGCAGUUAAGCCAUGGAUAUAGAAUCAGCAACUGGUCGCAGGCAACGUAUAGGAGGGACGGGUACUGUCAUAGAACUGAACCUGGAUCUAAGUAUUCGAUCGUUCAAACGCACAGGAUAUAUCACCAGUAUUUCCCUAGGACACUCCCAGCUAUGAUGUGGGGAAUGGUGGCUCUACGUCAGCACAAGGUGAUAGAUUUUGACAGGUUAUUCAAAUGAGGGGAACGGCUAGCCAGGUAAAGGUCAGCAGUUCAUUCCCCUUUCAUUAUAGUAGGUCAUUGUGCUCUCUGAUCUCCUGUAGUACAUGAAACAAGAUUUUACUAACUGAAAUACCUUUUGCUUUGCUUGGUAUAGGUAUAUCUUGGGAGACAAUUGCAUAGCUUCUCGAUGAACCACCCUGUUCCUGUUGCUUUGACAGGGACAACGUACAGUUGAUGUUCGGUUCACACUCAACAGUCCUGUUCCUGUUUUCUUUGACAAGGACAAAGUACGGGUUGAUGUUCCGUUGACACAGUAGUCAAUUCGCAGUAUCUGUACUGCAGGCAUACAAAUUCGAUGUCAAAGCCCCAUGCUCUGUGGUUACAUUGCCUUUGUUAGUACAUCUACCACUGUUCAUUUUACUAACUGCUAGUAAAAACAUCUAAUGGUAUCAGAUUGUCAGUUUUGGAAGAAUGAUUACACAGAAUUAAGUUUGGUGUUUUGUUUGGUUUAUAGCCUUAGUUAAAAUAUUUCUGUAAGCCAAAUACGAGCGUUGCAAAAUUUGUGACGAAGUUAGGUUUGUUGCCAAUUUUUCUUGGUAAAAUUGCUUUGAGCAUUGUUUAAUUUGAGAUCAAUUAGAGACUAAACAAUGUACACUACCAUUUCAUUUUCUGUUGGCAACAAACCAAAUGUGUUUGCCAAAUUGCCAGUGGCGGGCCCAGCUUUUUAAACUUGGGUAUUCGAAAUGGGAAGGGGUAAAAAAAUGUCCAUACACCAAAAAGCCAAAAAAUAGGCUUGUAUAUUAUGAUACACUAAUAAUUAUAAUUUAGAGCGUAUAGAAUAAAAUUGAUCAUUAGUUCACACAGUGAUAGAAUUGAUCAUCACUAGAAAUUGUUUAACUUAUAGAAAUACUAAUACCAAACAUAUCAAAGUGUCAAAAUAUGGAAUACAAAAAUGAUAGAGAAUAAUAAGUUAGGAAGAAAACUUACAAUUUAGAUAUUAACUUUUCGACGCUUGAUAUUUUGGAAAUAAUUGAUGAUGUCCUUGUCCUUAGCUUGCAAAAAGAAUUCUCUUUCAAUGAAUGUAACCAAACAAUCAUUCAAAUACUACAAAUUUGCUAAUAUGGUAUGAACUAUGAACUACUGUCCAGUGUCCAAUAUACUCAAUUACUCAAAUACUCAAAUAGGCAACUAGUCAACUACAAUCCUACAAACUAAAUGUCUAAAUCAAGCAAGCAAGCAACUACACUAAAAUACUAAAUGUCUAAAUCAAUGAAUUUUUGUGCUUGUCCCGUUGUCCGGAGUUUAGUCACUCACUGUGCUAAUGUGCUUAUCCGGAAUUUGCAGGUCAGGCAGUCGCCGGCGAGCAGGAUGCCGCACGGCCGCAGCGGCAGCGCGCAGCCGCCGGCUGCCUC